ACACGUAUGGGGCGAGCGUUGUUCGGAAUUAUUGGGCGUAAAGGGCGCGUAGGCGGAUAUGCAAGCUUGGUGUGAAAGACCGCAGCUCAACUGCGGGAGCGCGCUGAGAACUGUGUAUCUAGAGUUCAAGAGGGGAAGCUGGAAUUCCUGGUGUAGGGGUGAAAUCUGUAGAUAUCAGGAAGAACAUCAGUGGCGAAGGCGAGCUUCUGGCUAUGAACUGACGCUGAGGCGCGAAAGCGUGGGGAGCGAACAGGAUUAGAUACCCUGGUAGUCCACGCUGUAAACGAUGUGCACUAGGUGUCGGACCGUUGAAGGUUCGGUGCCGUAGCUAACGCGUUAAGUGCACCGCCUGGGGAGUAUGCUCGCAAGGGUGAA
rnacentral:rRNA from 1 species